GGCAUCGCCAGAGGAAACCACCGAGAGAAGAAAGACUUUUGGAGAAAACGAGGAGAGAGGUGAGAGAGAAGUUAUGGGCGCGUGAGAUUCACUCGCACGCAACUCGUUACAAUUUUUGAUCCACUUAUUGAAACUGUUUUGUCACAACUUCCGUCGUCCUUCCGCUUGUCGUCACAAAUUCUCGAACGACCGGCGUUAACCACGCACAUGAGAUGCUCCAGUUCUCAAACUUCAGUUUAUUGGCCUUCUUUUUAAUGAGUUCCCGUUGGACGUAAAGCUUGUUGCUAUAUCUACUGGUUCAAAGACCGGGACUACUUUGGUCUUUCCCGUUAUGGGUCUGUUAUGAGAAUUCUCCAGCGAUUUCACAUCAACGAUUAAAUUAGCCCUGGCGAUCAUUGCGUAGCUGUAACAUCGAGACCGUGUGGAAAUCUGAGUAGAAACAAGAGGACGAGCAGAAAAAGCUUGAGGAGCUUUGUCUCCAGAUCAUGUAGGAGAGGGAGCGUUCUGAGUUUCGCACUCUUCAGGAACAAGCCGGUCUCGUCCCGUAGAAGAAAAAGGAAAGUAUAAAGAUGGAGACACAAAGGAGCAUAAGAAAAAGCAUCAUCGUAAAAGUGGAAAUUAUCGUAGGUAAACUUCACCCAGACAUUAGGAGGAAGAUUCUGGUGAAGAGAAUAACAGAAUCCCACCAUCACAAGACAUCAGGGACUCGUGACAAACACUAUGAGAGACAGAGGUCAAAUUUAGGAAUACUCUUUUCAGAAUUUGUUUCUCUUUGUAGUUCACAAAGUCAACAACUUUGUGAAUUUGAAAAGAUCAAUUAGUAAAAGUUUUUGAAAUUUCAGGAAGAAUUAUUAAUAA